CAGUGAAAGAGGUGCUCCUUCCAGAAGUGCGGUGGAACUGCUUGUGGCCAGCAGUCUGGGGACCCCUGCCCUGGGGGCUGUCUUCACCCAACACUGAAUCCCUCAGGGCUCGGUGCUGGUCAUUGAAUGAGCUAGAGUUCCUUUAGCCAACACUCUAGUUAGGAGGGAUCUCAGACGUCCUCUAGUCCAGUCCCAGUACCUGGCUGGCCAUCCCCGCUCUGCCCCUUCUACCAAGUGGCCAGCUCUAAUCCUCUUGAAGACCCUCUGUGGCUGAGAGCCCAUCAAACAGUUCUACUCAUAUGCUUAGAAAUCCACCUCCUGGUAGUAACUCAGCCAUCCGUGCUGGUCUUGCCUGCUGGGGACCAAGAAAAUGAUAAUGAUUCAUUUCUGUAGGGCUUUCGAAGCCCUCGAGGCAGCGCUUCCUUUCUCAACCAUCUGUGCGGCAACGGUUUGGUCAGGGAACCGAGGGCAGAACAUCGGAUACUUCGUCAGACGUUAUUUUUGGAUGGGAUACUUUUCCUUUGUUUUCUUUGUCACGAGGGUGGCAGCUCAGUCUGAGCAGAGAUCAUCAGGAAUUUAUGGUACAGAGACACACAAAGAGGCAUCACCUAUCUAUCACCUCCCCACUACCAUUGUCAUCACACAACCUCUACCUUAUAUGUCCCAGGUGGCCCAGAGAAAUGAGGAAACUUUGAAGUUCUCUGCAACACACCCAGCAGCAGGAGAACAAUGUUCAUGAUGACUACAGUAAUAUAAAUAGAAGGAAAAAAACUUUGAAAGAAUAUAGAACUUGGAUCACUGUAGCGGCUAAUCAUAAGUUAAAAAAACUGAUUGUGG
rnacentral:lncRNA from 1 species